rnacentral:rRNA from 1 species
UACGAAGGGGGCUAGCGUUGCUCGGAAUCACUGGGCGUAAAGCGCACGUAGGCGGCUUCUUAAGUCAGUGGUGAAAGCCCGGAGCUCAACUCCGGAACUGCCAUUGAAACUGUGAAACUUGAGGAUGAGAGAGGUGAGUGGAAUUCCCAGUGUAGAGGUGAAAUUCGUAGAUAUUGGGAAGAACACCGGUGGCGAAGGCGGCUCACUGGCUCAUUUCUGACGCUCAGGCGCGACAGCGUGGGGAUCAAACAGG